rnacentral:misc_RNA from 1 species
GAUGAAGAACGUAGCGAAAUGCGAUACGUAAUGUGAAUUGCAGAAUUCAGUGAAUCAUCGAAUCUUUGAACGCAUAUUGCGCUCUCUGGUAUUCCGAAGAGCAUGCUUGUUUGAGUAUCAGUAAACACCUCAACUUCCAUAUCUUUUUUGAAAUGGGAGUUGGACUUGAGUGAUCCCAACGCUUUUCCUCACCGAAAAGUGGCGGGUUACUUGAAAUGCAGGUGCAGCUGGACUUUUCUCUGAGCUAUAAGCAUAUCUAUUUAGUCUGCCUAAAAAACAGAUUAUUACCUUUGCUGCAGCUAACAUAAAGGAGAUUAGUUCUUGUGCUGACUGAUGCAGGAUUCACAAAGACGGCUUCGGCCGACUUUGUAAACUCGAUCUCAAAUCAAGUAAGACUACCCGCUGAACUUAAGCAUAUCAAUAAGCGGAGGA